AACGAACGCUGGCGGCAGGCUUAACACAUGCAAGUCGAACGCCCCGCAAGGGGAGUGGCAGACGGGUGAGUAACGCGUGGGAACGUACCUUUCGCUUCGGAACAUUCCCGGGAAACUGGGAGCAAUGCCGAAUACGCCGUAUUGGGAAAGAUUUAUCGGCGAAAGAUCGGCCCGCGUUAGAGUAGGUAGUUGGCGGUGUAAUGGACCACCAAGCCUACGAUCUAUAGCUGGUCUGAGAGGAUGAUCAGCCACACUGGGACUGAGACACGGCCCAGACUCCUACUGGAGGCAGCAGUGGAGAACUUUGGACAAUGGGCGCAAGCCUGAUCCAGCCAUGCCGGGUGAGUGAAGAAGGCCUUAGAGUUGUAAAACUCUUUCGCCGGAGAAGAUAAUGACGGUAUCCGGAGAAGAAGCCCCGGCUAACUUCGUGCCAGCAGCCGCCGUAA
rnacentral:rRNA from 1 species